rnacentral:rRNA from 1 species
GCUAAAACACCAGUCCAUAAAUUCACACAAAAAUAUACUAAAAUAAGCCAAAACAUUUAACCAAUUCAGUAACGGCGAUAAAACAAUUUAUAAGCACAAUAACAACAGUACCGCAAGGGAAAUAGUACUAAGCACAAAAAAGCAAAGAUUAGACCUUGUACCUUUUGCAUCAUGGUUUAGCAAGCAAAUAAGGACAAGACGUGUCAAAGCCCAAUAACCCCGAAACCAGAUGAGCUACUUCAAAGCAGCCAACCGGGCGCAUCCUUCUCUGUAGCAAAAGAGUGGAAUGACUUUAAAGUAGCGGUGAAAUGCCUAUCGAAUCUGGAGAUAGCUGGCUACCCAAAAUUGAAUCUAAGUUCUACUUUAGGACAAACCAAAACACUAAACCUAGUUCCCUAAAGAAAAUCAAUAGGGGUACAGCCCUAUUGAAACAGGAUACAACCUGUCUCUGAGAGCAAACAUCCUAACCAAAACCAGUAGGCUUUAAAGCAGCCACCUAAAAAAAUAUCGUUCAAGCAUUAAAAUAAAAAUACCUUACCCAAACUAAUACUCCAGACCUACUAAGGGUAAUUCUAUAUAAAUAGAAGCACUUAUGCUAAAACUACUAAUAAGAAAAAUUCUCUAUGCGCACCUAUCUGUUAGACACAGAAAGCCUACUAGCAAAUAACAGACCACAAAAGGCAUAAUACAAACUAAUGCACAACAAUUAAUCCUACUGUAGCCCCGACACAGGAGCGCCAAAAAGAAAGAUAAAACAUUACAAAAGGAACUCGGCAAACAAUGAUUCCAACUGUUUACCAAAAACAUAACCUUUAGCCUAAACCAAUAUUAAAGGCAAAGCCUGCCCAGUGAGACCCCCCCCUUAAACGGCCGCGGUACCCUAACCGUGCAAAGGUAGCGUAAUCAUUUGUCUAUUAAUUGUAGACUAGUAUGAAAGGCUACAUGAGAAUCAAACUGUCUCUUGUAAUAAAUCAAUAAAACUGAUCUCCCAGUACAAAAGCUGGAAUACCCAUAUAAGACCAGAAGACCCUGUGAAGCUUAAACUAAAUCAUUAAAACAAAUAAUGACUACUUUCAGUUGGGGCGACUUUGGAAAAAAACAAAACUUCCAAACACCAUGAGCAAUCCCUCAUACAAUGUAGGCCAACAAGCCUUAAUACGACCCAGUCUAACUGACAAUUGAACCAAGUUACUCCAGGGAUAACAGCGCUAUCUUCUUCAAGAGCCCAUAUCAAAAAGAAGGUUUACGACCUCGAUGUUGGAUCAGGACACCCAAAUGGUGUAGCCGCUAUUAAAGGUUCGUUUGUUCAACGAUUAACAGUCCUACGCGAUCUGAGUUCAGACCGGAGUAAUCCAGGUCAGUUUCUAUCUAUAAAAAGCUCUUUCUAGUACGAAAGGACCGAAAGGGCAGAGCCAAUACCAAAAGCACGCUCUAAAAAAAGAUAUAAAUCAACUCAAUAUCAAAUAUUAUUACGCCAGGUCAAGACCCGGCC